AAACUUCACACUGGGGGGCACCCCGAUGAGGGAAAUCCUAGUGCUAGGACAUUUGUUCUAGCUUUUCUCAAGCGUAGAUAACUUGAGGAAUAAGGGCUGGGUAAGACGGGUGCCAGCCGCCGCGGUAAUACCUGCAGCCCAAGUGGUGGUCGAUUUUAUUGAGUCUAAAACGUUCGUAGCCGGUUUGGUAAAUCUUUGGGUAAAUCGGGAGGCUCAACUUUCCGACUUCCGAAGAGACUGUCAAACUUGGGACCGGGAGAGGCUAGAGGUACUUCUGGGGUAGGGGUAAAAUCCUGUAAUCCUAGAAGGACCACCGGUGGCGAAGGCGUCUAGCUAGAACGGAUCCGACGGUGAGGGACGAAGCCCUGGGUCGCAAACGGGAUUAGAUACCCCGGUAGUCCAGGGUGUAACGCUGCCGACUUGGUGUUGGAGACCCUUCGGGGCAUUCAGUGCCGGAGAGAAGUUGUUAAGUCGGCUACUUGGGGAGUACGUCCGCAAGGGAGAAACUUAAAGGAAUU
rnacentral:rRNA from 1 species